rnacentral:rRNA from 1 species
AACAUGUCCUUUAGAUUAUAAUUUAAGGUCUGAUCUGCUCAAUGAUUUUUAAAUUAAAUAGCUGCGGUAUUAUGACCGUACAAAGGUAGCAUAAUCAAUAGUUUUUUAAUUAAAAGCUGGAAUGAAAGAUUUAAUGAAAUUUUAACUGUCUCAAUUUUAUUUAUAUAAUUUUUUUUAUUAAUUAAAAAAUUAAUAUGAUUUUAAAAGACGAGAAGACCCUAUAGAAUUUUAUUUUUUUUUAAUUAUAUAUAUAUAUAUAUAUAAAUAUAUUAAUUGUACAUUAAUUUAAAAUUAAAUUUAAUUGGGGUGAUUUUUAAAUUUAAAAAACUUUUUUUUAUAAAAACAUAAAUUAAUGAAAAAUUGAUCUUAAAUUUUAGAUUAUUAGAAUAAAUUACCUUAGGGAUAACAGCGUUAUUUUAUUGGAAAGUUCAUAUUUAUAAUAAAAAUUGCGACCUCGAUGUUGAAUUAAGAUAAAAUUUAAAUGAAGAAAUUUAAAAAUUUUGGUCUGUUCGACCAUUAAAAUCUUACGUGAU